rnacentral:rRNA from 1 species
GGUUUGGAAAGACCCACCACAGAAGGUAAUAGUCCUGUAUGUUAAACGAGAAGACUUUAGAUAUGAUCCAGAGUACCACGGGACACGUGAAACCCUGUGGGAAGCAGGAGGGACCACCCUCCAAGGCUAAAUACUACCUAGUGACCGAUAGCGUAUAGUACCGUGAGGGAAAGGUGAAAAGAACCCCGGGAGGGGAGUGAAAUAGAACCUGAAACCCUGCACUUACAAGCUGUGGAAGCACAUUUCUUGUGUGACCGCGUACUUUUUGUAGAACGGGCCAACGAGUUACGUUAAGUAGCAAGGUUAAGCACUUAAGGUGCGGAGCCGUAGCGAAAGCGAGUUUUAACUGAGCGUUCAGUUACUUGACGUAGACCCGAAACCGGGCGACCUACCCAUGAGCAGGAUGAAGCGAAAGUAAAAUUUCGUGGAGGUCCGAACCCACGAGCGUUGAAAAGCUCGGGGAUGACUUGUGGGUAGCGGUGAAAUUCCAAUCGAGCCCGGAGAUAGCUGGUUCUCCCCGAAAUAGCUUUAGGGCUAGCCUCAAGGUGAGAGAUACGGAGGUAGAGCACUGAAUGUCCUAGGGGGUAUUGCACCUACCGAAGACUAUCAAACUCCGAAUGCCGUCAUCUUAUACUUGGGAGUCAGACUGUGGGUGAUAAGAUUCAUAGUCGAAAGGGCAACAGCCCAGAUCGUCAGCUAAGGUCCCUAAAUGUAAGUUAAGUGGUAAAGGAUGUGGGAUUGCACAGACAACCAGGAUGUUGGCUUAGAAGCAGCCACUCAUUCAAAGAGUGCGUAAUAGCUCACUGGUCGAGUGAUCCUGCGCCGAAGAUUUCCGGGGCUAAAACUUACUACCGAAGCUACGGCAUCAGUAAUGAUGGGUAGGGGAGCUUCCCAUACGGGUUGAAGCAUGACCGUAAGGACAUGUGGACAGUAUGGGAGUGAGAAUGUUGGCAUGAGUAGCGAGAUGUGGGUGAGAAUCCCACAGGCCGUAAACCCAAGGUUUCCAGGGGAAGGUUCGUCCGCCCUGGGUUAGUCGGGACCUAAGCUGAGGCCGAAAGGCGUAGGUGAUGGACAACAGGUUGAUAUUCCUGUACUACCGAUAACCGUUUGAGAGAAGGGAUGACACAGUAGGAUAAGCUAAGCACACUGUUGGUUAUGUGUGCCCAAGCAUUGAGGCAGUCAAAGUAGGCAAAUCCGCUUUGAUAAUGCUGGGAUGUGAUGGGGAGCGAAAUUUAGUAGCGAAGUAGCUGAUUUCACACUGUCAAGAAAAGUCUCUAUCGAGGUUAAAGGUACCCGUACCGCAAACCGACACAGGUGGGUGAGGAGAGUAUCCUAAGGCCAGCGAGAGAACUGUUGUUAAGGAACUCGGCAAAAUGACCCCGUAACUUAGGGAUAAGGGGUGCCACCAUCAGGUGGCCGCAGAGAAUAGGCCCAAGCGACUGUUUACCAAAAACAUAGGUUUCUGCUAAGUCGCAAGACGAUGUAUAGGAGCUGACGCCUGCCCGGUGCUGGAAGGUUAAGGGGAUCUGUUAGAGCAAUCGAAGCAGUGAACUUAAGCCCCAGUAAACGGCGGCCGUAACUAUAACGGUCCUAAGGUAGCGAAAUUCCUUGUCGGGUAAGUUCCGACCCGCACGAAAGGCGUAACGAUUUGGGCACUGUCUCAACAACAGACUCGGUGAAAUUGUAAUUCCGGUGAAGAUGCCGGAUACCUGCGACAGGACGGAAAGACCCCAUGGAGCUUUACUGUAGCUUGACAUUGGGUCUUGGUACUACAUGUACAGGAUAGGUGGGAGGCUUUGAAACCAGGACGCCAGUUUUGGCGGAGCCAUCCUUGGGAUACCACCCUUGUAGUACUGGGACUCUAACCAUAGGCCAUGAAUCUGGUCUUGGGACACUGUCAGGUGGGCAGUUUGACUGGGGCGGUCGCCUCCCAAAAGGUAACGGAGGCGCUCAAAGGUUCUCUCAGUACGGUCGGAAAUCGUACGUAGAGUGUAAAGGCAAAAGAGAGCUUGAUUGCAAGACAUACAGGUCGAGCAAGGAUGAAAAUCGGACUUAGUGAUCCGGUGGUUCUGCGUGGAAGGGCCAUCGCUCAACGGAUAAAAGCUACCCUGGGGAUAACAGGCUUAUCUCCCCCAAGAGUCCACAUCGACGGGGAGGUUUGGCACCUCGAUGUCGGCUCAUCACAUCCUGGGGCUGUAGUAGGUCCCAAGGGUUGGGCUGUUCGCCCAUUAAAGUGGUACGCGAGCUGGGUUCAGAACGUCGUGAGACAGUUCGGUCCCUAUCCGUCGCAGGCGUAGGAAAUUUGAGAAGACCUGUCCUUAGUACGAGAGGACCGGGAUGGACG